ensembl:lncRNA
UUUUAAAGGUACAAUACAGUGAAAUGAGAUUACAUGGUGAAAUCACUGUUUUCUACUUUUUGAAGGAAAUCUUAGUUUUUCCUAAGCAACUGCACAUCUAUACCUAUACAGUCACCACUGCCUAUUUUUCCUCCUGGAAAGAAAAAAAAAAGAUAAGCAAAAAAAUUAAGAGAAAACUCAUUGGUAGCAAACAUUUCUGCAAUGUUAUGUCUACGCUGUAUAAAACAGAAAUAAAUACGUAUCCUCAGUGAAUAGGCAGUUAAUCACCAGAAAUCUAGUAGAGGUUUGGGCGUUGCAUUUCUGUUUUUGAACAUUUUGGAAGUUUGAGAUGACAGUGACAGAUGGAAGCACAGUUCUUGGCAAGUGGUUGGAGCUCUAGGUGGGGUAGGUGACAGGGGCAAGUGAACAUGCUAGAGAGGGAGUGGAGGUGAAUCUCUUCCAGAUUUGUCUUUGCUGGCAUACAGAAAGCCAGAGCUGCCACUCCACCCCCUGACUUCUCUUGCAAGAUGAAUAUGUGCUCAGUGAGAUCUCUGCUGGUGCAAACCGUUGUACUCCAGGAACAUACAUGAGAAGACACACUCCUCUGACCUCCCUUGAGUCUGCUGAAUUCACACAACUUUUCUGGAAACAAACAUUUUUGAAUUAAAGCCCUGCUUAAGAAAUUACGCUGAUUGAGAUGUUCACAGUGCCCUCCUUGUCAAUAUCCUCCUUUAAGUCUUUACUUGGAACACAGGUGGAAAUAAAAGUAGAUGAAUACAAGUGACAGAAAAAUAAAGACUUGGUAGGACUGAAACACAGACUGAGCAGCUGAAACCAGUGGUCCCACAUACACUGGAAAAGGUGUGUUUCACACACUAUUAGCUGAAACCACCUGUAGCCAUCUUGAGUAUGCAAUCACACCAAGUCUUCGUGUAACAGAGCUCUCAGAAUAGCUGCUGCAGAGAGACUGAAGAAUCAUUGGAAGAGUAAGAAUCUUUCAGAACACGGGCAUCUGGCAAGAAAAGUAUUUACAACAGCAUUAUUUCAACAGAAGAGAAGGAUUGCUCAAGGAAGCAGGAGAGAAGAGUACCCAUUCCCAGAGGUGUUCCAGAACCAUGGAGAUGUGGCUCUGAGGAACACGGUCAGUGGGCAUGGUGGGAGUGGGUUGGGGUUGGACCUGAUGAUUCUAGAGGUCCUUUCCAACCUUAAUGAUUUAUGACUAGAUGUAAGUUGUAUUUAAGCGACACAUGGAUGGAAGAGCAUAUAUUAGUGCAAAACCAAAGAAAGACAUUUCCUCCAGAUACAAAUCCAGUACUAUGAAGGCUGAAGUGGGGAUGGGGAUACCCUUUCUGCCAUUACAAGUUAUGAAGCAUCUCACGUCAACUUCCUUCUUACAUAAUACAGAGUGAUAAAUCUGCUUGACAUAAAUCACUUAUGAAGGAACACAAGCUUACUAAAUAUAUCUCUAAAUCAAGGGCAGAUUUCUUUCUCAGUAUAAGAUCAAAAGCUCAAGUUAUAUUUAAGCUCUAAUGAGAAGCAGCCUUAUUUAUUGGUGGUGGUUGGGUCAUGGGGCCAGGAAAGCUCCUGUGUUCUAAUCCUGCAGCAUAUCCAUACUUUACAGUUUUGGAGAAGUCUGUUACUCCAUUUCUCCAUCACAUAAGCAGAGAUUUUAUUAUUUAGUUACCUCAUAAUGGCCUUAAGAGAAUGUUUACAAUCAUUCUGUAUUGUUUUUAAUAAACUUCGGUCCUGAUCCUGCAGGAUCUGUAUUCUAAAUCUGAACUAUUUAGAUCUAAUCUAAAAGAAAUCAUAGAAAAAGGUGAAAAUAAAGAAAAAAGUGAUUAUUACAUUACAAUAAUACAAUUUCAAUUCUGAAACAUCAUUAUAAGAAAAUUAAUGAUGACGGGACGAAAGGAUCCUUACUUCUGAUUGGCAUAUUUCUUAGGUUGCUCCAAAAGUAAUAUUUAUUUCCAUGGAAACUGCAACAGAUGCAAUGAGCACAGUAAUAUGGUGUGAUAGAACGAAUUCUCAGCUAUCAUAUACUAUCUUGAAAAAGUAACCACCAUUGGCAACGCAUUUUUGCCAGGGAUGAACAAGAGCCUGCGUGCCACGCUAGUCAAAAUCUGCACCAGUGGAGGUGACCCACUGUCACUGUCACCACUGCUGAAAUGUACCACCCACAGCCUCACUAUGUUCACAUUCACUGGUUGGUCUCCAGAAAUGGAUGUUAAUGGGUACUGUUUUUUCUGCAUGGAGAAAUUCAGUGACACACCUUUGAUUCAUACACGCUUUCAUGUCAAGUGCUAUUUUAUCAGGCUGCCCCUCUGCUGUCAUCUCUCACACAGCAACUACAUGUAAUGGGAUAUUGGUGAGAAGGUCAAACCUCUACUGCCAUACCACCAACAUCUGUCUCUGGCUCCACAGAGCCAUGAGCGUCUCAGCAGCACACAAUGAAUAGGUAUCACUGCUGCAAGGAGGAGGAAGAGGAUACAUCUGGAAACAACUCUCUGCUCUGCAGGCUCUACUGACACCUGGUGUGCAGCUCAUCUGCAGCCUUAUGUCCAUGAUCCCUGUGCUGCACAUGCCCACAGAGUGCCUCUGCACCCCAGAGCAACAGACCUCAUGGUGAAAACACAAGCACUGGUCAGCCACAAUUUUCUCUCAUCUCCCUUCUGGUUCAAGCAAGAAGGGAGGCUCUUCAAAUUGUGCUGUGAGCAAGGAGAUGUCAGUCUUGGGGUGACUUCCUCAAAGGAUUGGUGUUGUGACGCACAAGAGGAAACAUGCAGCAGCCAAGGCAUCAAGAGGACUGGGAGGCACGUAUGGUGCAAGCCAACCGUGCAAGUGUUGUGCUCAAGCACAAUGCUUCUAAUAGCAUGUGAGCAGGUGCUAAAUCUGUGUGUUUAUUAAAAACAAACAUGCUUAUGGUAGUGCCUCUCACAUUUUAUUAGUGGGAGUCUAUCCAAGUGCCCCCAAUACUGACAUUCCACUAUUGUCUUAAAAGAUAGAAACCACAUCCUAUGGCAAAGCAUUUGUGAGCCUUUGAGGGCUUUGUAAGUUGAACAAUCUUAGGAAUCUACCCACAGUUAAAUUUUCUGGAUUCUGCACAAGGGACAGAAAUAAGAAAAUAAAAUAAAAAAGCUUCUCUUCCAAGUCUCAGCUUGAAUUUGUAGUAUUUACAUUUUGAACAGUUUGAAAAAUGCAGCACCUUUUCCCCACUGUUCAUUAAUUGUGAUCCUCAACGGCACUUCACAGUCACUUCUGAAAUAGAAAAGAAAGUAAAGCUCAGACUGAAGAGUCCUUGAAUUGCUACAACCUACAUAAACUCAGCUCUUCAGCUCCUAUCUGCAAAGCCUCAGUGACAUAAAAUAGAAGAGACCUGACUAAAUAAGGGAUUCUGAUUUUCAGCAUGGUAAGGUCUUCUGAAAUAAAUUAUAUCCAAUUCUUAAGAACAGUGGCAGAGAUAAUGUCUGCAUAUCUAGAUUCAGAAGUCUCAAGAUGAGCUACAAUAUCUGACUUUGUUAAGUAAAUCAGCAAAGAUGACAGUACUCAGAAAAAGUUUGUUAAAGAAAGCAUGUCACUCACAUCUUUGUUAUUGACUCUCUUCACCUAUUUAAGAUUGGAGCACAAUAUAUUUAAAAUAAACCUUCCGAAUACUGAGUGAAUCC